AGUGAACGCUGGCGGCGUGCUUAACACAUGCAAGUCGAACGAGAACGGUCCUUCGGGAUGUCAGCUAAGUGGCGGACGGGUGAGUAAUGUAUAGUUAAUUUGCCCCUUAGAGAGGGAUAACAGUUGGAAACGACUGCUAAUACCUCAUACUCCUUCUAUGUUAAUCAUGGUUGGGAAAUCUUUUAUGGCUAAGGGAUAAGAUUAUAUGGUAUCAGUUAGUUGGUGAGGUAAUGGCUCACCAAGACAAUGACGCCUAGCUGGUCUGAGAGGAUGAUCAGCCACACUGGAACUGAGACACGGUCCAG
rnacentral:rRNA from 1 species